UACGUAGGGUGCGAGCGUUAAUCGGAAUUACUGGGCGUAAAGUGUGCGCAGGCGGCAGAGCAAGUCGAGUGUGAAAGCCCCGGGCUUAACUGGGGAGGGUCGUGCGAUACGGUCGGACUCGAGGCCAGUAGGGGGACGCGGAAUUCCGGGUGUAGUGGUGGAAUGCGUAGAGAUCGGGAGGAACACCAGUGGCGAAGGCGACUACCUGGCCUGUUCUUGACGCUGAGGCGCGAAAGCUAGGGGAGCAAACGGG
rnacentral:rRNA from 1 species